rnacentral:rRNA from 1 species
GACGAACGCUGGCGGCGUGCUUAACACAUGCAAGUCGAACGGAAAGGCCCCUUUGGGGGUACUCGAGUGGCGAACGGGUGCGUAACACGUGAGUAACCUGCCCUUGACUUCGGGAUAACUUCGGGAAACUGGGGCUAAUACCGGAUAGGAAUCCUUGCUGCAUGGUGGGGGUUGGAAAGCUUCGGCGGUUUUGGAUGGACUCGCGGCUUAUCAGCUUGUUGGUGGGGUAGUGGCUUACCAAGGCUUUGACGGGUAGCCGGCCUGAGAGGGCGACCGGCCACAUUGGGACUGAGAUACGGCCCAGACUCCUACGGGAGGCAGCAGUGGGGAAUAUUGCACAAUGGGCGGAAGCCUGAUGCAGCAACGCCGCGUGCGGGAUGACGGCCUUCGGGUUGUAAACCGCUUUCAGCAGGGGCGAAGCUUGUGGUGACGGUACCUGCAGAAGAAGCACCGGCUAACUACGUG